GCCCCAGUAGCUAAGAACGCCCUAAAGCGCCGGUUUUGUAAUCCGGAUAUCGGAGGUUAAAAUCCACCCUGGUGCC
rnacentral:tRNA from 1 species